rnacentral:rRNA from 1 species
GAUGAACGCUGACAGAAUGCUUAGCACAUGCAAGUCAACUUGAACUUCGGUUUGGGUGGCGGACGGGUGAGUAACGCGUAAAGAACUUGCCUCACAGAUAGGGACAACAUUUGGAAACGAAUGCUAAUACCUGAUAUUAUGAUUAUAUGGCAUCGUAUAAUUAUGAAAGCUAUAUGCGCUGUGAGAGAGCUUUGCGUCCCAUUAGCUAGUUGGAGAGGUAACGGCCCACCAAGGCGAUGAUGGGUAGCCGGCCUGAGAGGGUGAUCGGCCACAAGGGGACUGAGACACGGCCCUUACUCCUACGGGAGGCAGCAGUGGGGAAUAUUGGACAAUGGACCAAGAGUCUGAUCCAGCAAUUCUGUGUGCACGAUGAAGUUUUUCGGAAUGUAAAGUGCUUUCAGUUGGGAAGAAAAAAAUGACGGUACCAACAGAAGAAGUGACGGCUAAAUACGUG